AAAGACCAAUCGAACCAUCUAGUAGCUGGUUCCCUCCGAAGUUUCCCUCAGGAUAGCUGGUGCAUUUAAAUAUUAUGUAAAAUAAUCUUAUCUGGUAAAGCGAAUGAUUAGAGGCCUUAGGGUCGAAACGACCUUAACCUAUUCUCAAACUUUAAAUGGGUAAGAACCUCACCUUUCUUGGUAUGAAGGUUGUGGUUGUGAUAUAAUGUGCCCAGUGGGCCACUUUUGGUAAGCAGAACUGGCGCUGUGGGAUGAACCAAACGUAAUGUUACGGUGCCCAAAUUAACAACUCAUGCAGAUACCAUGAAAGGCGUUGGUUGCUUAAAACAGCAG
rnacentral:rRNA from 1 species